GAGCGGCGGACGGGUGAGUAACACGUAAAGAACCUGCCCAUAGGUCUGGGAUAACCACGAGAAAUCGGGGCUAAUACCGGAUGUGUCAUCGGACCGCAUGGUCCGCUGAUGAAAGGCGCUCCGGCGUCGCCCAUGGAUGGCUUUGCGGUGCAUUAGCUAGUUGGUGGGGUAACGGCCCACCAAGGCGACGAUGCAUAGCCGACCUGAGAGGGUGAUCGGCCACACUGGGACUGAGACACGGCCCAGACUCC
rnacentral:rRNA from 1 species